UAUGGCCAUAUCAUAUUGAAACACCAGUUCCUGUAUGAUCACCGAAGUUAAGACAACAUCGAGCUGGGUCAGUAUAGAGAUGGGUGAUCGCUUGCGAAAAUGAGGUUCUGUAA